AUACGUAGGUGGCGAGCGUUGUCCGGAAUUAUUGGGCGUAAAGAGCGCGUAGGCGGAACUGCAAGUCUAAUCUAAAAGUGCGGAGCUCAACUCCGUGAGGGGUUAGAAACUGCAGAUCUUGAGUGCAGGAGAGGAAAGUGGAAUUCCCAGUGUAGCGGUGAAAUGCGUAGAGAUUGGGAGGAACACCAGUGGCGAAGGCGACUUUCUGGACUGUGUCUGACGCUGAGGCGCGAAAGCCAGGGGAGUGAACGGGAUUAGAUACCCCGGUAAUCCUGGCCGUAAACGAUGGGUACUAGGUGUAGGAGGUAUCGACCCCUUCUGUGCCGGAGUUAACGCAAUAAGUACCCCGCCUGGGGAGUACGACCGCAAGGUUGAA
rnacentral:rRNA from 1 species